rnacentral:rRNA from 1 species
AGCGAACGCUGGCGGCAGGCCUAACACAUGCAAGUCGAACGAACUCUUCGGAGUUAGUGGCGGACGGGUGAGUAACACGUGGGAACGUGCCUUUUGGUUCGGAAUAACUCAGGGAAACUUGUGCUAAUACCGAAUGUGCCCUUCGGGGGAAAGAUUUAUCGCCAUUAGAGCGGCCCGCGUCUGAUUAGCUUGUUGGUGAGGUAACGGCUCACCAAGGCGACGAUCAGUAGCUGGUCUGAGAGGAUGACCAGCCACACUGGGACUGAGACACGGCCCAGACUCCUACGGGAGGCAGCAGUGGGGAAUCUUGCGCAAUGGGCGAAAGGCUGACGCAGCCAUGCCGCGUGAAUGAUGAAGGUCUUAGGAUUGUAAAAUUCUUUCACCGGGGACGAUAAUGACGGUACCCGGAGAAGAAGCCCCGGCUAACUUCGUG